rnacentral:rRNA from 1 species
GUUCAAUAUAAAGAUUGGGGAGUACAAGCUAUAAGCUUAAAAACCAAAGAAUAUGGCGGUAUUAUAAUUUAUUAGGGUGGCUUGUAUCUUAAUAUGAUAAUCCACGAUAAAUAAUCCUUAUUUAGAAAGUUCAAUAUAUGUACUGCCGUUAUAAUAUAAUUGAAAAAAAAUUAUAUAAUAUAUAUAUAUAUAUAUAUAUAUAUAUAUAUAAUCAGGUCAAAGUGUAAUCAAUAAUAAGGUGAAUUAUGAGCUACUAUUAUUUAUCACAUUCAGAUUAUUAUUUAAAUUAAUAAAAAGUAGAACUUAAAAGUAAUUAAAUUAAUUAAUUUUAAUGAAUAUAAUUUAUAAUG